GACUUGCCUCUCCAUGCUUAGACCUAGCAGAGAAAUCCUGAAGAUAUCCUGCUGAUUGAGUUUCACCCUUGUUGACCAGGCUGGAGUGGAAUGGAUGAUCUCGGCUCACUGCAACCUCUGCCUCCCGGGUUCAGGCAACUCUCCGGCCUCAACCUCCUGAGUAGCUGGGAUUACAGAUAAGAAUUAUUGCACCAUUUUUCAGAUGAAGAAACUGGAAAUUCAGAGGUGUUAGCUUGUCCAAGCUUUUACCAAAAGUUUUUUGAAACUUGAAAACUGAGCUACUUGCAAUACUCUGGGGGCCAAGUGCAAGAGGAAAAAUUUUAUGUGAAUUUGUUCCAUAAUGAUAUAUGCCCAGCAUGGGGUGGAAUGCGAAGAAGGAAAAAGGUUGAAGACAUUGAACAACUUUAUUGAGCCUCCUGUGUGGUGUCUUUACAGUAGGACAUUAUUAUUUCCCUUGGAGUGGAUCCCCAGCGCAGCAGAUUCCAUCUUAGUCAAAUGUCAGUGUAAAAACACAAUUGCUUGAUUCAAAGUACAAGCUUUCCUAGGAUGAUUUGCCAGCUUGGGUUAUUUUCUUUUCCGUUUGCUUCCAUUUAUAACAACAACCGACAGUUACUUGCACCUAUAUAAGACUUAUGACAAUUUUUCCUCUUAAUUAAUUGCAUGGUUUUAUUUGCUUAUCUUUUACUUGCAAAAUCUGCAAUAAAAUUCCA
rnacentral:lncRNA from 1 species